UCUUUUUAUCUGUAGAAUCCUUGCGGCUCCAGAAAUGUCCUCACCAGAUCUCGGGCUUGGAAGGCCCCUCCUGAUAGAUUCCAAUCUCGUGUCUGUCUCCUCCCAGAUUCCCUGAAAGCGGCAACCUCGGUCAGAUAAUGCAUUCGAGGUUCCACUGGCGAAUGAGGACCCUUUGCAAACCCCAUUGGAUAAGCCCGGAGAAUAGCUGCAUCUCAUUGGUUCCCCGAGAUGGCAAUUACUCGCCUCUUCGACCCACGCGGGUCCAGUAAAUGGGUGUUGGGUAACGGUCAGCGGGGUCAGUGGCAGUUGCUGCCGAGGUCACCUGCCAUUUCCAGGGUCACGUGGCAUCUCGGAUGGCUUUGUGGUGGAAGGCCUUUUCCCUGUCCCUCCAAACGUGUCUCCCAUGUCCAGCGAGCAGGUGACAGCACAGAUUGUCAUCAGGGAUAUUUACCCUCGUCACCACUGUUAGGAUGGCCAUUCAGAUUACACGGCUCUUGACCUUCCUGCGAGGUCUUAGAAGACCACAGAACAGCUGGCUGACUGCCUCUCACACCUCCCCACCUAUGCUACCACCCUGAGUCUCAGGAGGAGAUGCCCGGGGACCCACCUCAGACAUGGUUCUCAUAGGCUGACAGCAGGCCACCAGACUACAAUCAAUCAUUGUCCCCUGUCAGCUCCAAAGGGAGAUCAAACUCCAGCCCAGUCUACAAGCUUCCCUGGGUUUCCAGUCCAGUCAAGGAUGGAGGUCUGGAGCAAAGCUUCAGGUGCUCAUCUCUCUGUGAGACUCUGAUGGUUUCCUCAGCCAGGCCCUGCCUGAGUCCUCAAAGCUGUGUUCAUGAUGAGCGUCUACGUCCCUGGGCAGAGUCUGUCAUGCCUGGGCUCAGGUACCUCACCACCUCUUCUCUGAGCAUGGAUCCAGUGAGACAUCCUGAUUUAUUGCUUUUUUUCUCCCCCCUGUGUCCUUUGCUAAAUCCUUGAACCAUAAUGUGGGGACCAUAACCCAGAGUCAUCCAGGAAUGACACCCUAGGUGUGGAGUAGGAUUGUCUCCACCCAUGACCCAGAAGUUACAGAAAUUUACUUACAGUGUACAUGGAACUGCACGGUUGCAACUUCAGUGUCAAAUUUGUUUCCUACCACAAGCACUUGGUAUUGCUGAUGUUCUGGAUGAGCAGGGAACCAUUGCUGUAUAUUAUCUCUCUGCCUGUGUGUCCAUGCCUUAUUUCAUAUAUUCCACUGGAUAUUGUAAGUCGUACAAUAUCAUCCAUCUCUAAUAUUGUGUUAGUUGUUGUACUGCACCAGACAAAGUAUUUGAAUAUCCAUGGCAGAUUGUGGACCUGUAGAAGAACGUUUGCCCCUUCAGCAAUGGUGGGCAGAACUGCUUCAACAGUGACUCUGGCCGUGGUGCGAGAAUUCCAGUAGGUUAGAAGUAAGGCUAAGAGGGAAGAGAGAAAAUCUAUCAACAUUUGGAUCUUUGCAUUUGGUGGAAAUUUGAAACCUGAGUGUGCUCAACUCCCAGCCUCGGUGUGUUGGUGUUCUGUUAGGGGGAGGUCAGAACCCCCCAAAUCUGUCCCCUGAAUGACAGUGUCUGCUCGGGUGUCUACACAGCUCACCGCUCACUCCCUCAGAUCCCUGCUCACACUCAGAAUCUAUGGGGAGUGUAGGCAUGUCUUCUCUGACUUCCUUCUCUACAGACUCUCUGCCUUCAUUUUCUGCUCUUUCCCUGCUCUGUUUCUUCUGAAGUGCUUGUCACCCCUGAGGCCACCUUCUAGAUGUCCUCGCUGCUGUCUUCAUGGCCAGUAGCACUAGGCCUUUGUGAGGAGGACUAGUCUGAUUUUGGUUUAAACCCCACUGCCUGGAACAUCUCAGACACCUGUGAGCAGUCAGUGUCCCAGAGCCUGGGGUUUAUUUGCUGAUUUCUCAGUUUGAGUUUUACUUGGAGAGUCACCUGACAGAGUUGUAAGCAUCAAUCUUCAGGACACAGGGGCCAGUGCUCAUUGCUGCAAGCCUCACGAUUAUGCCGUGAGACUUCAGCUGUCAUUUGCAAGGUCACCCAAUUAGAAUCAAGGAAUCUGAUGGAGGCUUAAUGGAAAUGCAGGCCAUAUUGGAGUUAGCGCAUUUUGAAUGAGUUGGCCGUUGUUUUUUCUGUAGAUGUUCUUGUGAAACCGUAGCUCUCCCUCGUAUUACAGCUUUGGCGUUCAUCCCAAAGCCUCUCUGUGUGCUUUUCACCUGUUGGGUCUAAUCAUGUCCUUCACCCUGCAUCGUGUGAGAAGUAAACCAUACAGUCAACGCCUUGUUCUCACUCAGGGUCUGUGCUCCUCUCCCCAGUAUGAGCCUCGAGGUCUGACCUCCUGCAAUUAACUAUGGCAGAACGUUUGGGCAGAAAAAGUGUCUAUACAAACAGAUUACAACUAGAGCCUUCACAAGUCAGGCCCAAGGACAGCGUGUCUGAGUUUGUUGGUUUUUAGCCCUCAAACAGAUAGGGAAUUAGCACGGCCUGGAUUCACCCUGCCAGCAGUUAGGGAGCAGCUGGCCCAAGCUAAUCUUGAACUAACUUGGGACAAAUCCUUAACUCAUUGCUUGUACUUACUUUCACCUUGGAUUGUUGAUGCAAGAUUCUAGUGAUAGUUUGUUUUAAUCUAACAAACGAAGUUUGCCUGAAGAUCAGAGUGUAGAGCUAAGCCACUAGUUAGCCACAGAACACAGGCAGUGGUGGCCUCACCUUUACUCCCAGCAUGCGGCGUCAGAGGCAGAUGAACUCUGUGAACUCAAUGCCACCCUGGGCUCAGACUCAAAGAGAAGCAGAGCUCACACCUUUGAUCCCAGCACUUGGGAUGUCAUGCCUUCAAUCCCAGCACUAGAGAGGAAUAUAAAGCAGGAGCUCAGUGUAGUCUGAGUCCAUCCGAGGUCUGGAGGAGAGCAUUGCAAUCAGAGAAAAUCUGAACAAUCAGGAGCAGUCUGAGGUUGGGUGGAUCGUCCCUUUGGUCUGAGCAUUGGUAGAGGUGAGAACUCUCUAGUGACUGACUACUUUGCUUCUCUGAUCUUUAGCUUUAACCCCAAUAUCUGUCUCUGGGUUUUUAUUACUCCUGCUACAGAUUCCAGCUUAUUGUCUAGUCACGCUUAGGAAUGCAGUGUAGCACACAAAUUCCCCCCUUCCUUUCUUAGAUUGUCCUAGUGACUUAAAGUCUCUCCCUUUAGCUGACCCCUUUCCCUUUAAGAGUUCACCAAAGAUUUCAUUACAAAUCACUCUCACCUCGAGUCAUAAAGAAAGGCCAUAGGUACUGUCCUGCAUAAAACUCUUCUCUGUUUUUAAGACCCUGGAAAAACUCAAGCCUUGUCACCUUGCUUUGGUCAGAGAAUUGUUGAUUGUAUGUGUAUAUAAACUGGAAAUUUGGAGACUCAAGCAACAGCAGAGAGAACAGUAAAAGAAUAAAGAGACAUGCACAGAA